AUUGAACGCUGGCGGAAUGCUUUACACAUGCAAGUCGAACGGUAACAGGUUAAGCUGACGAGUGGCGAACGGGUGAGUAAUACAUCGGAACGUGCCCAGUCGUGGGGGAUAACGGAGAGAAAUUUACGCUAAUACCGCAUACGAUCUAAGGAUGAAAGCGGGGGACCGUAAGGCCUCGCGCGAUGGGAGCGGCCGAUGUCAGAUUGGGUAGUUGGUGGGGUAAAGGCCUACCAAGCCGACGAUCUGUAGCUGGUCUGAGAGGACGACCAGCCACACUGGGACUGAGACACGGCCCAGACUCCUACGGGAGGCAGCAGUGGGGAAUUUUGGACAAUGGGCGCAAGCCUGAUCCAGCCAUUCCGCGUGCAGGAUGAAGGCCCUCGGGUUGUAAACUGCUUUUGUACAGAACGAAAAGGUCUGGGUUAAUACCCUGGGCUCAUGACGGUACUGUAAGAAUAAGCACCGGCUAACUACGUGCCAGCAGCCGCCGCCGUAA
rnacentral:rRNA from 1 species